UUGCUCUUAUAUUUAGCGGCGGACGGGUGAGUAACGCGUGAGCAACCUGCCUUCGACUACGGGAUAACACUUAGAAAUAGGUGCUAAUACCGUAUAAGACCACACUCGGGCAUCCGAGAGGGGUAAAAGAUUUAUCGGUCGAAGAUGGGCUCGCGUCCCAUUAGCUAGUUGGUGAGGUAACGGCUCACCAAGGCUACGAUGGGUAGCCGACCUGAGAGGGUGAUCGGCCACAUUGGAACUGAGAUACGGUCCAAACUCCUACGGGAGGCAGCAGUGGGGAAUAUUGGGCAAUGGAGGCAACUCUGACCCAGCAACGCCGCGUGAGCGAUGAAGGUCUUCGGAUUGUAAAGCUCUGUCGCAGGGGACGAAGUAUGACGGUACCCUGUAAGAAAGCCCCGGCAAACUACGUGCCAGCAGCCGCGGUAAUACGUAGGGGGCUAGCGUUGUCCGGAAUUACUGGGCGUAAAGGGAGUGUAGACGGCUUGUCAAGUUAAGUGUGAAAGCCCGCGGCUUAACCGUGGAAUUGCACUUAAAACUGGCUCGCUAGAGUGCAGGAGAGGUGAGCGGAAUUCCUAGUGUAGCGGUGGAAUGCGUAGAAAUUAGGAGGAACACCAGAGGCGAAGGCGGCUCACUGGACUGUAACUGACGUUGAGGCUCGAAAGCGUGGGUAGCAAACAGGAUUAGAUAUCCUGGUAGUCCACGCCCUAAACGAUGGAUACUAGACGACGGCAGCUUGUCUGUCGGUGUCGUAGCUAACGCAUUAAGUAUCCCGCCUGUGGAGUACGGCCGCAAGGUUAAAACAUAAAGAAAUUGACGGGUCCCCGCACAAGCAGCGGAGCAUGUGGUUUAAUUCGA
rnacentral:rRNA from 1 species